GCACGACAGAGUUUUUAAGCCAAGCGUUACGUGAAAGAAACCACAAAAGGCGUCUCCCUUAGGGUCCAAUGACUUUGAGGAAACAAUAAAUAUGUGAAAAGAGAUCUCAGCGAUGACUUCCAACACUUCCUUAGUGUUUCAGUUCUUCCUACAGAACAAGAACUGUCACGUUUCUCAGAGUGCCAAGUUUCCAGGACCUGCCUCCAUGUAGGAGACCAGCGCUGGUGGAGAAACGCAGCGUCUUUACACGCAGCCGCAUCUUCGCAACAGAGCACCGAAGCAACAAGAAAGUUUUUGACACCUGACCAUUUACGCAGGUUGUGGAGGUCUAUGACUGCUCGUUCGUGGAUUUAAUUGCCAGAAAUGAACCAGCCGAUUGCCUCGAUUGAGUAAAGCAGGGCCUCUGCACAGCAGAACCCAGGGCAGGACCCAUCUCUGUCACCCCUGCAGCCCUCUGUGUUCUGCACCAAGGUGAAGAUGCCCUCGGAGCCUGGAAAACGAGGUUGGAUUAUGUCUCUGAAGCAAAAGUUCCA